AUUGAACGCUGGCGGCAGGCCUAACACAUGCAAGUCGAGCGGAUGAACAGAGCUUGCUCCUGGAUUCAGCGGCGGACGGGCGAGUAAUGCCUAGGAAUCUGCCUAGUAGUGUGUGAUAACGUCCGGAAACGGGCGCUAUUACCGCAUACGUCCUGAGGGAGAAAGUGGGGGAUCUUCGGACCUCACGCUAUCAGAUGAGCCUAGGUCGGAUUAGCUAGUUGGUGGGGUAAAGGCCUACCAAGGCGACGAUCCGUAACUGGUCUGAGAGGAUGAUCAGUCACACUGGAACUGAGACACGGUCCAGACUCCUACGGGAGGCAGCAGUGGGGAAUAUUGGACAAUGGGCGAAAGCCUGAUCCAGCCAUGCCGCGUGUGUGAAGAAGGUCUUCGGAUUGUAAAGCACUUUUAGUUGGGAGGAAGGGCAGUAAGUUAAUACCUUGCUGUUUUGACGGUACCAAAAGAAUAAGCACCGGCUAACUUCGUG
rnacentral:rRNA from 1 species